UUUGACUAUUGCACCAGUAUGAAGAGGGUGCUUCUCCCUGUAGAGGUAGCACUGAAAGAACAAGAUGAAAUGCUCUUGUACUCAUCAUUACUUCAGGUGGAAUUGAAGAAUAACUGGUUUCAGGCAGUGAAGGCUGUGACUGAAAAGCAUGUAGCAUCAUGCAGUUUAAACAAAAUUACAUCCAUGCUAUGAAUUAAGCAUAGACUUCAUUGUGCUUUUCGCCCAGGCAUGUUCAGCAAAUGCACUUCUUUAGUAAGGCAGUACAAAGAUGCUGUAUUAGGCUGACCUCAACAAUACUGGAAGGAAAAAAUGUGAGCCUGAAUCAUGAAUUAACUUAGGUGAGCUGUUUCCUUUACAUGUUCUGGAAGGGCUGGAUGUGUUCAUACCAAGGGUAAGUCACACAGAGCUGUACAAAGCUUUAGUUUUUCAGAAAACGUUGUGUGUUAUGCAGUCUUGAUUUUUUUCAGGUUGCCCAACAGUAUUUUUCCUGGAAAGAGGAUGUUUGCUGUGAGCCAGACCUCCUCAUGUCCAUCUCCUUCCAAGCUUUCCAUGAAAUGUGACUGUGGAGAGUCGAUCUGGGCUGGACGCCAGGUGCCCACCAAACUGCCCCAGCACUGCCUUUGUCAGCUGGGCACCGAAGAGGGACAAAAUAAAAUGGAAAAUGAUUCAUGGGUCAAGGUAAGGAAAAAAGUAAAAUGGUGCUUACUCAAACAAAGGAAAAAACACAGUGAUUUUAUUCUGCACUUCCCAUUUACAGUGGACCACUUUCCGGGAAGCAGGGACGCAGCACGUGUCACAGUUACUCUGGAAGGCAAACACUGUAAAUAA
rnacentral:lncRNA from 1 species